UGGGGAAUAUUGCACAAUGGGCGCAAGCCUGAUGCAGCCAUGCCGCGUGUAUGAAGAAGGCCUUCGGGUUGUAAAGUACUUUCAGCGGGGAGGAAGGCGUUGUGGUUAAUAACCACAGCGAUUGACGUUACCCGCAGAAGAAGCACCGGCUAACUCCGUGCCAGCAGCCGCGGUAAUACGGAGGGUGCAAGCGUUAAUCGGAAUUACUGGGCGUAAAGCGCACGCAGGCGGUCUGUCAAGUCGGAUGUGAAAUCCCCGGGCUCAGCCUGGGAACUGCAUUCGAAACUGGCAGGCUAGAGUCUUGUAGAGGGGGGUAGAAUUCCAGGUGUAGCGGUGAAAUGCGUAGAGAUCUGGAGGAAUACCGGUGGCGAAGGCGGCCCCCUGGACAAAGACUGACGCUCAGGUGCGAAAGCGUGGGGAGCAAACAG
rnacentral:rRNA from 1 species